ACGGAGGGUGCGAGCGUUGUCCGGAAUCACUGGGCGUAAAGGGCGCGUAGGCGGCCACUGCAAGUCAGUUGUGAAAUCUCCGGGCUUAACCCGGAAAGGUCAACUGAUACUGCAGGGCUAGAGUGCAGAAGGGGCAACUGGAAUUCUCGGUGUAGCGGUGAAAUGCGUAGAUAUCGAGAGGAACACCUGCGGCGAAGGCGGGUUGCUGGGCUGACACUGACGCUGAUGUGCGAAAGCCAGGGGAGCGAACGGGA
rnacentral:rRNA from 1 species